AAAAUAGUGAAUUCACCUCCAAUAAAGAAAGACCUAAAUAGUACAAUAACAGAUCUCAGACGUUCAGUGAAACAAAAUGCAGCAGCUAUUGUCAGUCUCGAACCAAUAAAAUAGUAGUAGAAUGGCACAGAAUGUAGUAAGUGAUACAAAAUUCAUAAAGAAAAGAGUUAUUUUGCAGAGGACAACACAUAACACAUUAAAGAUUAAUGAAAUGAGGCACAAUGGCAAUCAUUCUGCAGCAGCAGGUUCUUCUGAUGUCUGAGUAACUUUGGCAUCACUGGGAGGUGCAUCUGAAGUUCCAUUUGGUGCUUCAUCUUUAGCAUUCUUGGAAUCUUUCCCCUUGCCGUCUUUUACAUCCUUGGUGUCUUUUCCAUCCUUCCCAGCUUUGGCGUCCUUGGCAGGAGGGGGAGGGGGUGGUAUCAUGUGAGGUGGUGGGCUGUGCUUAAGCUUCAGCAGUAUGUGGCGCAUCCUUGAAAGUUCGGUAGGUUUCCCAGGUUUAGGCCCUUGGACAACUGUGAUGGAUGGCUUCUUAUCUUGAUCCUUC
rnacentral:lncRNA from 1 species